GCCCGGAUGGUCUAGUGGUAUGAUUCUCCCUUCGGGGGCAGCGCCCGGUACAUAAUAACAUGUAUCAGAAAUGGGAGAGGUCCCGCGUUCGAAUCGCGGUUCGGGCC
rnacentral:tRNA from 1 species